AUGAAAACUGAACAUUACAAUUGACGAAAGCAGAAAAUUACAAUUGCUGGUGCAGGGGACGGACACCAGUGAGUUUGUAAGAUUUUUGAAUGACUAAUACCUCCUAUAAUAAUAUUCGGAACAAAAACCUAAGUGACAGGAAUAAAUGUUUAAAAGACGAGGAAUCAUACUAAACGUUUACUAACACAAGAGCUAUUUUACAACUGAAAUAACAAUUACAAUGAAAAUAAAAUUACAACUCAAACUUGAUGUAAUAUUUACAAUGUGCGGUCGAAAUUGGACAAACUGCGACUACGAUAGUGUCAAGGGGCUAAGUAAAGCUGCGGUCCUUGACACUUUGACUUGCACUAAAUUCUGAAUUAUUUUUCCUUUUUUUUUUUUUAUCAAAAAAGAAUUUGAGAUAAAGAUUCUCAGUUCACUUAAAAGAAAUACUAUUGAUUAUAAUAUUUCCAAUAAUACUUUUGAUUUGCAAAAUUAUGAUAAAGUCCUCUUUAUCA
rnacentral:lncRNA from 1 species